rnacentral:rRNA from 1 species
AUUGAACGCUGGCGGCAGGCUUAACACAUGCAAGUCGAACGAGUGGCGGACGGGUGAGUAAUGUCUGGGAAACUGCCUGAUGGAGGGGGAUAACUACUGGAAACGGUAGCUAAUACCGCAUACCAUCGGAUGUGCCCAGGGGGGAUUAGGUAGUUGGUGGGGUAAAGGCUCACCUAGCCGACGAUCCCUAGCUGGUCUGAGAGGAUGACCAGCCACACUGGAACUGAGAAACGGCCCAGACUCCUACGGGAGGCAGCAGUGGGGAAUAUUGCGCAAUGGGGGCAACCCUGACGCAGCCAUGCCGCGUGAAUGAAGAAGGCCUUCGGGUUGUAAAGUACUUUCAGCGGGGAGGCGUUACCCGCAGAAGAAGCACCGGCUAACUCCGUGCCAGCAGCCGCGGUAAUUC